rnacentral:rRNA from 1 species
UACAGAGGUCCCAAGCGUUGUUCGGAUUCACUGGGUUUAAAGGGUGCGUAGGAGGGCAGGUAAGUCAGUGGUGAAAUCCCCGAGCUUAACUUGGGAACUGCCGUUGAUACUAUCUGUUUUGAAUACCGUGGAGGUGAGCGGAAUAUGUCAUGUAGCGGUGAAAUGCUUAGAUAUGACAUAGAACACCAAUUGCGAAGGCAGCUCGCUACACGAAUAUUGACUCUGAGGCACGAAAGCGUGGGGAUCAAACAGG